rnacentral:rRNA from 1 species
GAUGAACGCUGGCGGCGUGCCUAAUACAUGCAAGUCGAGCGAACAGAUGAGGAGCUUGCUCCUCUGACGUUAGCGGCGGACGGGUGAGUAACACGUGGAUAACCUACCUAUAAGACUGGGAUAACUUCGGGAAACCGGAGCUAAUACCGGAUAAUAUAUUGAACCGCAUGGUUCAAUAGUGAAAGACGGUUUUGCUGUCACUUAUAGAUGGAUCCGCGCCGCAUUAGCUAGUUGGUAAGGUAACGGCUUACCAAGGCAACGAUGCGUAGCCGACCUGAGAGGGUGAUCGGCCAGACUGGAACUGAGACACGGUCCAGACGCCUACGGGAGGCAGCAGUAGGGAAUCUUCCGCAAUGGGCGAAAGCCUGACGGAGCAACGCCGCGUGAGGGAUGAAGGUCUUCGGAUCGUAGAACUCUGUUAUUAGGGAAGAACAAAUGUGUAAGUAACUAUGCACGUCUUGACGGUACCGAAUCAGAAAGCCACGGCUAACUACGUG